GAUGUCACUCCAUGCCAUAUCAUAAGCUCCUGAAAAUGCUAAAGGUAAACGUUUGCCUGCCUUCACCCUUUCACCGCGCGAUGUACUGUUUUACGCCGGGAAAAAGACACUGGACGUCAGGAGGGGAGUCAAUGGCCGGUACGCUAAUAAAUUUAGCGUCGAAUUUUGUCUUAUCUUGACCAAAAGGGGAAGCGCUAAAACGUAUAUCAAUCUAAUUCCUGCAAGAUUUUUACGUUUAUUUGUGCAAAAAUGCGCUACCUCACUUUUUAUGGGGUAAUAGGAAAGGAGAAAAAUUGAUGAGCACCGACCUGAAGUUUUCUUUAGUGACGACUGUCAUUGUGCUGGCCCUGAUUGUUGCGGGUGCGAUGACGGCGGCUCUGCACUGAG
rnacentral:sRNA from 1 species